rnacentral:misc_RNA from 1 species
AGCAGGUAGCUUAACCUUCGGGAGGGCGCUUGCCACGGUGUGGCCGAUGACUGGGGUGAAGUCGUAACAAGGUAGCCGUAUCGGAAGGUGCGGCUGGAUCACCUCCUUUUGAGCAUGACGUCAUUCGUCCUGUCGGGCGUCCUCACAAAUUACCUGCAUUCAGAGAUUCAUACCGGCACAGGUCGGUAUGCGAAGUCCCUUUUGGGGCCUUAGCUCAGCUGGGAGAGCACCUGCUUUGCAAGCAGGGGGUCGUCGGUUCGAUCCCGACAGGCUCCACCAUAUUGAGUGAAAAGACUUCGGGUCUGUAGCUCAGGUGGUUAGAGCGCACCCCUGAUAAGGGUGAGGUCGGUAGUUCGAGUCUACCCAGACCCACCACUCUGAAUGUAGUGCACACUUAAGAAUUUAUAUGGAUCAGCGUUGAGGCUGAGACAUGUUCUUUUAUAACUUGUGACGUAGCGAGCGUUUGAGAUAUCUAUCUAAACGUGUCGUUGAGGCUAAGGCGGGGACUUCGAGUCCCUAAAUAAUUGAGUCGUAUGUUCGCGUUGGUGGCUUUGUACCCCACACAACACGU